GGAGUAGGGCGCACCAAGAAGAAGCUUCUAACUUCCCCCUUAAGCGGUUAAACCCCGUUUCUACUCUU
rnacentral:tRNA from 1 species